UGGGGAAUAUUGCACAAUGGGGAAGACCUUGAUGCAGCGACGCCGCGUGAGUGAAGAAGUAUUUCGGUAUGUAAAGCUCUGUCAGCAGGGAAGAAAUUGACGGUACCUGACCAAGAAGCCCCGGCUAACUACGUGCCAGCAGCCGCGGUAAUACGUAGGGGGCAAGCGUUAUCCGGAUUUACUGGGUGUAAAGGGAGCGCAGGCGGUUCUGCAAGUCUGGUGUGAAAGCCCGGGGCUCAACCCCAGGGCACUGCAUUGGAAACUGCGGGACUUGAGUGUCGGAGGGGCCAAAGGUGGAAUUCCUAGUGUAGCGGUGAAAUGCGUAGAUAUUAGGAGGAACACCAGUGGCGAAGGCGGCUUGCUGGACGACAACUGACGCUGAGGCUCGAAAGCGUGGGGAGCAAACAGGAUUAGAUACCC
rnacentral:rRNA from 1 species